rnacentral:rRNA from 1 species
AUUGAACGCUGGCGGCAUGCUUUACACAUGCAAGUCGAACGGCAGCGCGGGCUUCGGCCUGGCGGCGAGUGGCGAACGGGUGAGUAAUGCAUCGGAACGUGCCCAGUAGUGGGGGAUAGCCCGGCGAAAGCCGGAUUAAUACCGCAUACGACCUGAGGGUGAAAGCGGGGGACCGAAAGGCCUCGCGCUAUUGGAGCGGCCGAUGUCGGAUUAGCUAGUUGGUGGGGUAAAGGCUUACCAAGGCGACGAUCCGUAGCUGGUCUGAGAGGACGACCAGCCACACUGGGACUGAGACACGGCCCAGACUCCUACGAGAGGCAGCAGUGGGGAAUUUUGGACAAUGGGGGCAACCCUGAUCCAGCCAUGCCGCGUGCGGGAAGAAGGCCUUCGGGUUGUGAACCGCUUUUGUUCGGGAAGAAAUCCUCUGGGCUAAUACCCCGGGGGGAUGACGGUACCGGAAGAAUAAGCACCGGCUAACUACGUG